CACGUAGGGGACGAGCGUUGUCCGGAUUCAUUGGGCGUAAAGCGCGCGUAGGCGGCUCGGAAAGUCGGGCGUGAAAUCCCAUGGCUCAACCAUGGAACUGCUGGGCAUACUGGCGAUCUUGUGCCACCUAGGGGCGAGCGGAACAAGCGGUGGAGCGGUGAAAUGCGUAGAUAUCGCUUGGAACGCCGACGGCGAAAGCAGUCCGCUGGGGGUGAGCCGACGCUGAGACACGAAAGCCAGGGGAGCGAACGGG
rnacentral:rRNA from 1 species